CAACCCUCAAGCCUGGCUUGGUGAUGGGGCACUGCCUUCUAACGAGGGCAGGCCCUGAAAUUCAGUGGCGAGCUCGCCAGGACCCCGAGCGCAGUAGUUAAACCCUCGCUCUGGAAGGCCCUGGCGGUGCCCUGCCGUUAAACCCCCAACUCUUGAAA
rnacentral:misc_RNA from 1 species